AUUGACAUGUAUAAGUGAGCGUGUCGCUGACAUUAAGACUCGUGCUCAUGCCAUGAAGUGCCUUACUACUUUUUGUGAAGCUGUAGGUCCUGGAUUUAUUUUUGAAAGAGUAUAUUGAGAUGAUUUCUUUGGAGCAAUUCUUGACAACAUUUGUAGUUGAGGCCUUUAGAAUGGAAGAAUGUAUUUCACUAAUUUUUGUAUACAUUUCUUGUUUUGUAUUUAGUGAUAAAGGAAUCUGAAUUGGGCAUAAAUUAUGUUGUAAUAUGAUUUCUUAAGCCUAGACUAAAUAUUGUAAUUACAUUUGAGUAAUUAAUAAAAAUCUAUUUAUGUUACUUUAUUUGGCUUCAA